UGAGAUGCUUUGAGGGAAGGCGACCA
rnacentral:piRNA from 1 species